rnacentral:misc_RNA from 1 species
GGCCGAUGUCACCAAGCCGAAAGGCUUUGCGCUGGUGGUGGUGCCGUCGAUGGAGUCGCAACUGAUGGUCAACAAGCUCUGCGCGUCGGCGGACAGGAUCAAGGCGGGCGGCCUCGUUCACCGUGACGGCGUCUGGCAGAAAUUCUACGAGCGCGACGAAUUGAUCUCCACCGUCUCCGGGACGGGCUUCGAGGUCACACGGAUCGCCAAGGUUUAUUAUCCCUGGUCGGUGGACGGCCUGCGCAAACCCCGGCUGUCCCGGCAAUUGCCGUGGGACUGGGGCUU